UACAGGGGGUGCAAACGUUGCUCGGAAUCAUUGGGCGUAAAGCGCACGUAGGCGGUUCGUUAUGUCGGAUGUGAAAGCCCUUGGCUUAACCGAGGAAGUGCAUCCGAAACUGGCGAGCUAGAGUACGAAAAGAGGAUCGCGGAAUUCCCCGGUGUAGAGGUGAAAUUUCGUAGAUAUCGGGAGGAACACCGGUGGCGAAGGCGGCGAUCUGGGUCGAUACUGACGCUGAGGUGCGAAAGCGUGGGGGAGCAAACAGG
rnacentral:rRNA from 1 species